rnacentral:rRNA from 1 species
AUUGAACGCUAGCGGGAUGCUUUACACAUGCAAGUCGAACGGCAGCGCGGACUUCGGUCUGGCGGCGAGUGGCGAACGGGUGAGUAAUGUAUCGGAACGUGCCCAGUAGCGGGGGAUAACUACGCGAAAGCGUAGCUAAUACCGCAUACGCCCUACGGGGGAAAGCAGGGGAUCGUAAGACCUUGCACUAUUGGAGCGGCCGAUAUCGGAUUAGCUAGUUGGUGAGGUAACGGCUCACCAAGGCGACGAUCCGUAGCUGGUUUGAGAGGACGACCAGCCACACGGGGACUGAGACACGGCCCAGACUCCUACGGGGGGCAGCAGUGGGGAAUUUUGGACAAUGGGGGCAACCCUGAUCCAGCCAUCCCGCGUGUGCGAUGAAGGCCUUCGGGUUGUAAAGCACUUUUGGCAGGAAAGAAACGUCGCGGGCUAAUACCCCGUGGAACUGACGGUACCUGGAGAAUAAGCACCGGCUAACUAU